rnacentral:lncRNA from 1 species
GAGGUGGCGCUGUGGAGCCGCGCAGGGUCUAGGGCGACUCUCUGAGGGAGCCGCGGCCGCCAGGCUCCGUGGGUUUUGGUUCAGGCGCCGGUGUGCCCAAGGAUGUUGUAGAACUCUGUCUAGCCACAGUGUGGGGAUGGGGAGCUCCCGCCGACAGACUCUGUUGCUUUCUGGCUUGGGUCUUACUCUGUCGUUCAGGCUGGAGUGCAGUGGUGCGAUCUCAGCUCACUGCAACCUCUGCCUCCCGGGUGGAAGCAAUUCCCCGCGUCAGCCUCCUGAGUAGCUGGGACAGGCCGCUGGUUGUCCCUUGCUCCUGGAAGGUCACCAUAUUGAUGCCAAACUCAGUGUGGAUGCCCAAUUGGUAGAGUGCACUACAGCCCAGAACUCAUGGACUCAAGUCAGCCUCCCAAGUCCCUGGGACUACAGAUUCCUGAAUGAUCCGGCGGCAUGGCAGAGGUGGUGCCUACUGAUAUGGCUCCGAUGACUGGAGGAACACCAGGGUCCUUGGUCUUGCGCCAAUGUAGAAUACUGGAAGUCCUAUGGAAGUCCUGGCCAGAGCAAUUAGGCAAGAAAAAGAAAUAAAA